CAGUAUGUGCUGUUAAAUAUAUUUCUCUAGCAGUUGGAAAAAUGCAUUGAUGAUGCUUUAAGAAAAAAUGAUUUCAAACCUUUGAAAACACUUUUGCAAACUGAUAUUUGUGAAGAUGUGAAGAUUAAAUGCAGCAAACAGUUUUUCCACAAGGUGGACAACCUUAUAUGCAGGGAACUUAAUAAAGAGGAUAUCCACAAUGUUUCAGCCAUUUUGGUUUCUGUUGGAAGAUGUGGCAAAAAUAUCAGUGUAUUGGGGCAAGCUGGACUUCUAACGAUGAUAAAACAAGGACUGAUACAAAAGAUGGUUGCCUGGUUUGAAAAAUCCAAGGAGAUUAUUCAGAGUCAAGGAAAUUCAAAAGAUGAAGCUGUUCUAAAUAUGAUAGAAGACUUAGUUGAUCUUCUGCUGGUAAAAAUCACAUUGAUUACACUGAUGUUUAUAAAACGUGUUUAUUUAAAAAACAAUUUGUGUUCUCUGUGCCCUGAGCCUAAAAGUCACUAACAGAUUGGUUGGUGACUUGGUUGGAUUGGUCUGUUCAGAUUGUAUAAAACAUUUAUUCUGGUAAAUAUAAUUAAAUGGUUA
rnacentral:sRNA from 1 species